rnacentral:rRNA from 1 species
CCAACCGGGAUUGCCUUAGUAACGGCGAGUGAAGCGGCAAAAGCUCAAAUUUGAAAUCUGGUACCUUCGGUGCCCGAGUUGUAAUUUGGAGAGGGCAACUUUGGGGCCGUUCCUUGUCUAUGUUCCUUGGAACAGGACGUCAUAGAGGGUGAGAAUCCCGUGUGGCGAGGAGUGCGGUUCUUUGUAAAGUGCCUUCGAAGAGUCGAGUUGUUUGGGAAUGCAGCUCUAAGUGGGUGGUAAAUUCCAUCUAAAGCUAAAUAUUGGCGAGAGACCGAUAGCGAACAAGUACAGUGAUGGAAAGAUGAAAAGAACUUUGAAAAGAGAGUGAAAAAGUACGUGAAAUUGUUGAAAGGGAAGGGCAUUUGAUCAGACAUGGUGUUUUGUGCCCUCUGCUCCUUGUGGGUAGGGGAAUCUCGCAUUUCACUGGGCCAGCAUCAGUUUUGGUGGCAGGAUAAAUCCAUAGGAAUGUAGCUUGCCUCGGUAAGUAUUAUAGCCUGUGGGAAUACUGCCAGCUGGGACUGAGGACUGCGACGUAAGUCAAGGAUGCUGGCAUAAUGGUUAUAUGCCGCCCGUCUUGAAACACGGACCUCCUGUGUGAGGGAUCCCCCUUA